rnacentral:rRNA from 1 species
ACUUACGGCCACACCACCCUGAGCACGCCCGCUCUCGUCUGAUCUCGGAAGCCAAGCAGGGUCGGGCCUGGUUAGUACUUGGAUGGGAGACCGCCUGGGAAUACCAGGUGCUGUAAGCAU